rnacentral:rRNA from 1 species
CCUACGGGGUGCAGCAGUGGGGAAUAUUGGGCAAUGGGCGCAAGCCUGACCCAGCAACGCCGCGUGAAGGCAGAAGGCUUUCGGGUUGUAAACUUCUUUUCUGAGGGACGAAGAAAGUGACGGUACCUCAGGAAUAAGCCACGGCUAACUACGUGCCAGCAGCCGCGGUAAUACGUAGGUGGCAAGCGUUAUCCGGAUUUAUUGGGUGUAAAGGGCGUGUAGGCGGGAAAGCAAGUCAGAUGUGAAAACUAAGGGCUCAACCCGGAGGCUGCGUUUGAAACUGUUUUUCUUGUGUGCUGGGGAGGCAAUCGGAAUUUCGUGGGUAGCGGUGAAAAGCGUAGAUAUACGGAGGAACACCAGUGGCGAAGGCGGAUUGAUGGACAGUAACUGACGCUGAGGCGCGAAAGCGUGGGGAGCAAACAGGAUUAGAUACCCUUGUAGUC